GAAUUCGCCCUUAGAGUUUGAUCCUGGCUCAGGACGAACGCUGGCGGCGCGCCUAACACAUGCAAGUCGAACGAGCAAGAGAGAGCUUGCUUUCUCAAGCGAGUGGCGAACGGGUGAGUAACGCGUGAGGAACCUGCCUCAAAGAGGGGGACAACAGUUGGAAACGACUGCUAAUACCGCAUAAGCCCACGGCUCGGCAUCGAGCAGAGGGAAAAGGAGCAAUCCGCUUUGAGAUGGCCUCGCGUCCGAUUAGCUAGUUGGUGAGGUAAUGGCCCACCAAGGCGACGAUCGGUAGCCGGACUGAGAGGUUGAACGGCCACAUUGGGACUGAGACACGGCCCAGACUCCUACGGGAGGCAGCAGUGGGGAAUAUUGCACAAUGGGGGAAACCCUGAUGCAGCGACGCCGCGUGGAGGAAGAAGGUCUUCGGAUUGUAAACUCCUGUUGUUGAGGAAGAUAAUGACGGUACUCAACAAGGAAGUGACGGCUAACUACGUGCCAGCAGCCGCGGUAAAACGUAGGUCACAAGCGUUGUCCGGAAUUACUGGGUGUAAAGGGAGCGCAGGCGGGAAGACAAGUUGGAAGUGAAAUCCAUGGGCUCAACCCAUGAACUGCUUUCAAAACUGUUUUUCUUGAGUAGUGCAGAGGUAGGCGGAAUUCCCGGUGUAGCGGUGGAAUGCGUAGAUAUCGGGAGGAACACCAGUGGCGAAGGCGGCCUACUGGGCACCAACUGACGCUGAGGCUCGAAAGUGUGGGUAGCAAACAGGAUUAGAUACCCUGGUAGUCCACACUGUAAACGAUGAUU
rnacentral:rRNA from 1 species